AUUCUUCUGCUGUUACAGCAGCUUCCGCGGAACCCUCCCCUACUGUUUGUGCCACUCUCCCGAGCUGGGACGUGCCCUGGAUACUGGUGCUGUUGUUCACAGCAGGCCAAGGGGUCACCAUCAUAGCCCUCAGCAUAGUGCUCUGGAGGCGGCGGAGGGCCCAGGGGUCUCGGGACAGAGAACCCUCAGUUCCUCAUUUCAAGCCUGAAGUCCAGGUCUAUGAGAACAUCCACUUGGCCCGCCUUAGCCCACCUAACCACAAGACCAGGUGAUCCUGGAGAUAUCUGCGUGGAAAAGCCUGACCCACAGUCCUGUGUCUCUAGCCACUGGCACCUGAAGGAUUCCCUGGAACUUUGGCCAAGGGGUGGCUGAGGGUGUGACUCGUACUGGGCUUCCAAGAGCCACCAAGCUGGAGGGGCCAGGGACAACAUAAGGAAGCAGUAACAUCGUUCUGUGAUGUCACCUACAAAAAAAGGACUCCUCCAAGGGCCGGAUCCAGUACCUCUUCUUUCCUGCCAGGACACCGCACGCGGUGCUAUGACUGCGGUGGAGGCCCCAGCAACUCCUGCAAGCAGACAGUGAUCACUUGUGGUGAGGGCGAGCGCUGCGGCUUCCUGGACCGCAAACCUCAACCCAGCUCGGAGCAAGCCAAGCAACCCUCCGCGACCUUGAGCCAUCACUACCCAGCCUGCGUGGCCACGCAUCAUUGCAAUCAAGUGGCCAUAGAGUCAGUGGGAGACGUGACUUUCACAACCCAGAAAAACUGCUGUUUUGGAGAUCUGUGCAACAGCGCCGUGGCAAGCUCCGUGACCCCCUUGUGCAUCUUGGCUGCAGCUGUUACCACCCUGGCCUGGCUCUUGCCAGGACUGUAGAGCUGGAGGGUGGGACCGAGGGCAGGGUAAGGACUGAAGGACCAAGGGAGUGAGGGAGCUGGACAUCUAAGGUAAGAAGACAAACACUCCCUUGUGUGCCGUUAAAAUUGAUGAACUAUUCUAGAGAGGACUGUAAAAAUAUUUGUUUUUCAUUCUUUGAGGCAAGGUGCUGGGAUUAAAGGUGUGAGCCACCACUACCGAAA